GUCCGACAAUUGAGCAAUGCUUGGAUAAAACCAAGAGGAAAGUCCGGACGCCAUCCAUUGUAAGUGGAAAAAAUAGUCGGUAACACCGACCAGCUAAUCGGUAACGGUUAGUUAGGGAAAGCGCCACAGAGACAAUACUAGUCCCGCCCUUUUGAUAUUAGUUUAACUUUUCUUCUUAAUGAUUUAAAGAAAAAGGAAAAGUGAAGAAUCGGCUUAAUUAAGAGCGGAAAUAGCGGAUAUAAGUAGUAUCAAAAAGGCGGGAUGAAAGGUGAAAAGUGCGCUUAGGUUAUUUUUAGCCAGAGCGCUCACACUCAAGUGAUUGAGUGAUGUGGCAAGCCCUAUUUGGCGCAAGAACGUAAUUCGCAUUUGUGAAUUGAUUCGCUAAAGUUUUUCGGCAACGGAAAACGCAGAUAAAUAUUGCUCCUCGACAGAAUCCGGCUUAGGAUUGUCGGACAAAU
rnacentral:RNase_P_RNA from 1 species